UAAGCGACUAAGCGUACACGGUGGAUGCCCUGGCAGUCAGAGGCGAUGAAGGACGUGCUAAUCUGCGAUAAGCGUCGGUAAGGUGAUAUGAACCGUUAUAACCGGCGAUUUCCGAAUGGGGAAACCCAGUGUGAUUUGUCACACUAUCAUUAACUGAAUCCAUAGGUUAAUGAGGCGAACCGGGGGAACUGAAACAUCUAAGUACCCCGAGGAAAAGAAAUCAACCGAGAUUCCCCCAGUAGCGGCGAGCGAACGGGGAGGAGCCCAGAGCCUGAAUCAGUGUGUGUGUUAGUGGAAGCGUCUGGAAAGGCGCGCGAUACAGGGUGACAGCCCCGUACACAAAAAUGCACAUGCUGUGAGCUCGAUGAGUAGGGCGGGACACGUGGUAUCCUGUCUGAAUAUGGGGGAACCAUCCUCCAAGGCUAAAUACUCCUGACUGACCGAUAGUGAACCAGUACCGUGAGGGAAAGGCGAAAAGAACCCCGGCGAGGGGAGUGAAAAAGAACCUGAAACCGUGUACGUACAAGCAGUGGGAGCACGCUUCGGCGUGUGACUGCGUACCUUUUGUAUAAUGGGUCAGCGACUUAUAUUCUGUAGCAAGGUUAACCGAAUAGGGGAGCCGAAGGGAAACCGAGUCUUAACUGGGCGUUAAGUUGCAGGGUAUAGACCCGAAACCCGGUGAUCUAGCCAUGGGCAGGUUGAAGGUUGGGUAACACUAACUGGAGGACCGAACCGACUAAUGUUGAAAAAUUAGCGGAUGACUUGUGGCUGGGGGUGAAAGGCCAAUCAAACCGGGAGAUAGCUGGUUCUCCCCGAAAGCUAUUUAGGUAGCGCCUCGUGAAUUCAUCUCCGGGGGUAGAGCACUGUUUCGGCAAGGGGGUCAUCCCGACUUACCAACCCGAUGCAAACUGCGAAUACCGGAGAAUGUUAUCACGGGAGACACACGGCGGGUGCUAACGUCCGUCGUGAAGAGGGAAACAACCCAGACCGCCAGCUAAGGUCCCAAAGUCAUGGUUAAGUGGGAAACGAUGUGGGAAGGCCCAGACAGCCAGGAUGUUGGCUUAGAAGCAGCCAUCAUUUAAAGAAAGCGUAAUAGCUCACUGGUCGAGUCGGCCUGCGCGGAAGAUGUAACGGGGCUAAACCAUGCACCGAAGCUGCGGCAGCGACACUAUGUGUUGUUGGGUAGGGGAGCGUUCUGUAAGCCUGUGAAGGUGGCCUGUGAGGGUUGCUGGAGGUAUCAGAAGUGCGAAUGCUGACAUAAGUAACGAUAAAGCGGGUGAAAAGCCCGCUCGCCGGAAGACCAAGGGUUCCUGUCCAACGUUAAUCGGGGCAGGGUGAGUCGACCCCUAAGGCGAGGCCGAAAGGCGUAGUCGAUGGGAAACAGGUUAAUAUUCCUGUACUUGGUGUUACUGCGAAGGGGGGACGGAGAAGGCUAUGUUGGCCGGGCGACGGUUGUCCCGGUUUAAGCGUGUAGGCUGGUUUUCCAGGCAAAUCCGGAAAACUAAGGCUGAGGCGUGAUGACGAGGCACUACGGUGCUGAAGCAACAAAUGCCCUGCUUCCAGGAAAAGCCUCUAAGCAUCAGGUAACAUCAAAUCGUACCCCAAACCGACACAGGUGGUCAGGUAGAGAAUACCAAGGCGCUUGAGAGAACUCGGGUGAAGGAACUAGGCAAAAUGGUGCCGUAACUUCGGGAGAAGGCACGCUGAUAUGUAGGUGAAGCGACUUGCUCGUGGAGCUGAAAUCAGUCGAAGAUACCAGCUGGCUGCAACUGUUUAUUAAAAACACAGCACUGUGCAAACACGAAAGUGGACGUAUACGGUGUGACGCCUGCCCGGUGCCGGAAGGUUAAUUGAUGGGGUUAGCGGUAACGCGAAGCUCUUGAUCGAAGCCCCGGUAAACGGCGGCCGUAACUAUAACGGUCCUAAGGUAGCGAAAUUCCUUGUCGGGUAAGUUCCGACCUGCACGAAUGGCGUAAUGAUGGCCAGGCUGUCUCCACCCGAGACUCAGUGAAAUUGAACUCGCUGUGAAGAUGCAGUGUACCCGCGGCAAGACGGAAAGACCCCGUGAACCUUUACUAUAGCUUGACACUGAACAUUGAGCCUUGAUGUGUAGGAUAGGUGGGAGGCUUUGAAGUGUGGACGCCAGUCUGCAUGGAGCCGACCUUGAAAUACCACCCUUUAAUGUUUGAUGUUCUAACGUUGACCCGUGAUCCGGGUUGCGGACAGUGUCUGGUGGGUAGUUUGACUGGGGCGGUCUCCUCCUAAAGAGUAACGGAGGAGCACGAAGGUUGGCUAAUCCUGGUCGGACAUCAGGAGGUUAGUGCAAUGGCAUAAGCCAGCUUGACUGCGAGCGUGACGGCGCGAGCAGGUGCGAAAGCAGGUCAUAGUGAUCCGGUGGUUCUGAAUGGAAGGGCCAUCGCUCAACGGAUAAAAGGUACUCCGGGGAUAACAGGCUGAUACCGCCCAAGAGUUCAUAUCGACGGCGGUGUUUGGCACCUCGAUGUCGGCUCAUCACAUCCUGGGGCUGAAGUAGGUCCCAAGGGUAUGGCUGUUCGCCAUUUAAAGUGGUACGCGAGCUGGGUUUAGAACGUCGUGAGACAGUUCGGUCCCUAUCUGCCGUGGGCGCUGGAGAACUGAGGGGGGCUGCUCCUAGUACGAGAGGACCGGAGUGGACGCAUCACUGGUGUUCGGGUUGUCAUGCCAAUGGCACUGCCCGGUAGCUAAAUGCGGAAGAGAUAAGUGCUGAAAGCAUCUAAGCACGAAACUUGCCCCGAGAUGAGUUCUCCCUGACUCCCUGAGAGUCCUGAAGGAACGUUGAAGACGACGACGUUGAUAGGCCGGGUGUGUAAGCGCAGCGAUGCGUUGAGCUAACCGGUACUAAUGAACCGUGAGGCUUAACCU
rnacentral:rRNA from 1 species